rnacentral:lncRNA from 1 species
UUUCACUGCGUCCCAUAAGUUUGGACCUGCUCUCUCCUGGUGGUGUUUGGGUAAGGAGCGCUGUGGCACAGGAUUAGCUCCGGAUGCAGACAGAAACCGGAAGCCUUUUCCAGUGGUUUUCCCAGAGAAUGUCCAAUCAGCUUCCAGUCAUUCAAAACUUCUUCAACUUUUGAAAUAAACCUUUCCCACUCCAAGGCUGCGGUGAAGUCUAUGAGCUCAAACACUUUGGACUCUGGCUCACUGUCUGCCUCCAUCUUGCGGAACAGAGAGUCAGCUUCUUAUGAGUUAUUCCAAUAGAAUUUUUGAAGAAACAUAGAAGGAGCUGAGCCACCUGCUACUGGGCACAUCGGACCAGUCACAAGUUGGGUGGCAGCACAGAAGGAGGAAGGACUGGUAAGAACUGACGUACUUAUGUCAGCAACUAUGGGCUCCAAACAUGCAGUACAGGCUUGCCCAAAGACUGAGUUCAAGUACAAACCAAGCUGCACAUGAGAAGCACAAGAUAAAAGAAAAAACUCCAGUUGACUGGUGAGAAUAUCAGUAUUCCUUCCAUCCCAAGGGCGUGCUUCCUCAACUACCUUCCCUUGGGAAACUGAAGACCCCAGAAAAGCAAUUAGUGUGCAUACACUAGGGGGCAGUCUCCUGAAAACGAGGUCAGAGAGACUGCUGAGCAGUAGAGUGGACUGUGUUCUCUCCUCAGUCAUCCAAUCAGCUUUCAGUCCAGGGCCUCAUCCAAGUAUAUAAAAUAGAC